rnacentral:rRNA from 1 species
GACAGAGGGUGCAAACGUUGUUCGGAAUUACUGGGCGUAAAGCGCGUGUAGGCGGCUGCGCAAGUCGGAUGUGAAAUCCCGUGGCUCAACCACGGAAGUGCACCCGAAACUGCGUAGCUUGAGUCUCGGAGAGGAAGGUGGAAUGCUUGGUGUAGAGGUGAAAUGCGUAGAUAUCGUAAGGAAGACCAGUGGCGAAGGCGGGUCUCUGGACAGUUCCUGACACUGAGGCACGAAGGCCAGGGGAGCAAACGGG